UUGGUCCUGAGUCAUGGCCAGCAGUUUUAAAGCUGUUGGUUGCGAGCUGAGGCCUAAAGAAUGUCUUUCUGUGGUCCGCUGGCUAUUGCAGAGAUUUGUAAAUGCAGUGGUCGAUUAUUGGAAAGAAACAUCU
ensembl:snoRNA